GUGAGUAACACGUAAAUAACCUGCCCUUAAGUCUGGGACAACCUUGCUAACGCGAGGCUAAUACCGGAUGUGAAUUUAGAGUCUCCUGACUCUUUAUUUAAAGGUCCUUCGGGAUUGCUUAAGGAUGGAUUUGCGGACCAUUAGUUAGUUGGUAGGGUAACGGCCUACCAAGACGAUGAUGGUUAGCCGACCUGAGAGGGUGAUCGGCCACAUUGGGACUGAGACACGGCCCAGACUCC
rnacentral:rRNA from 1 species